CACGCUGUAAACGAUGGGUACUAGGCUUUGUGGGAAUAGACCCCUGCAGAGCCGGAGCUAACGCAAUAAGUACCCCGCCUGGGAAGUACGGUCGCAAGACUAAAACUCAAAGGAAUUGACGGGGGCCCGCACAAGCGGUGGAUCAUGUGGUUUAAUUCGAAGCAACGCGCAAAACCUUACCUGGGUUUGACAUCCCCGGACAAACGUAGAAAUACGUCUUUUGUAGCAAUACAACCGGGAGACAGGUGC
rnacentral:rRNA from 1 species